UUUGAACGCUGGCGGCAGGCCUAACACAUGCAAGUCGAACGGUAACAGGCCGCAAGGUGCUGACGAGUGGCGAACGGGUGAGUAAUGCAUCGGAACGUGCCCAGUCGUGGGGGAUAACGCAGCGAAAGCUGCGCUAAUACCGCAUACGAUCUAUGGAUGAAAGCGGGGGACCGUAAGGCCUCGCGCGAUUGGAGCGGCCGAUGUCAGAUUAGGUAGUUGGUGGGGUAAAGGCCCACCAAGCCAACGAUCUGUAGCUGGUCUGAGAGGACGACCAGCCACACUGGGACUGAGACACGGCCCAGACUCCUACGGGAGGCAGCAGUGGGGAAUUUUGGACAAUGGGCGCAAGCCUGAUCCAGCAAUGCCGCGUGCAGGAAGAAGGCCUUCGGGUUGUAAACUGCUUUUGUACGGAACGAAACGGUCUGGGUUAAUACCCCGGGCUAAUGACGGUACCGUAAGAAUAAGCACCGGCUAACUACGUGCCAGCCGCCGCAGUAAAAC
rnacentral:rRNA from 1 species